AGUGAACGCUGGCGGUAGGCCUAACACAUGCAAGUCGAACGGCAGCACAGUAAGAGCUUGCUCUUACGGGUGGCGAGUGGCGGACGGGUGAGGAAUACAUCGGAAUCUACUUUUUCGAGGGGGAUAACGUAGGGAAACUUACGCUAAUACCGCAUACGACCUACGGGUGAAAGCAGGGGACCUUCGGACCUCGCGCGAUCGAAUGAGCCGAGGUCGGAUUAGCUAGUUGGCGGGGUAAAGGCCCACCAAGGCGACGAUCCGUAGCUGGUCUGAGAGGAUGAUCAGCCACACUGGAACUGAGACACGGUCCAGACUCCUACGGGAGGCAGCAGUGGGGAAUAUUGGACAAUGGGCGCAAGCCUGAUCCAGCCAUGCCGCGUGGGUGAAGAAGGUCUUCGGGUUGUAAAGCCCUUUUGUUGGGAAAGAAAGGCAGCAGGUUAAUACCCCGCUGUUCUGACGGUACCCAAAGAAUAAGCACCGGCUAACUUCGUG
rnacentral:rRNA from 1 species